UGGUUGAUGCAAUGGCUGCUC
rnacentral:piRNA from 1 species